GAUGAAGAACGCAGCGAAACGCGAUAUGUAAUGUGAAUUGCAGAAUUCAGUGAAUCAUCGAAUCUUUGAACGCACAUGGCGCCUUCCAGUAUCCUGGGAGGCAUGCCUGUCCGAGCGUCGUUUCAACCCUCGAGCCCCCGUGGCCCGGCGUUGGGGAUCUGCCACGGCAGGCCCCUAAAACCAGUGGCGGACCCGAAGGCCCUCUCCUUUGCGCAGUAGCAUCAGCCUCGCAUUGGGAUCCCUCGGCGUCCUGCCUCUAAACCCCCCACAAGUCCGCUCCGGCGGCACCAAGGUUGACCUCGGAUCAGGUAGGAAUACCCGCUGAACUUAAGCAUAUCAAUAACGGAGGA
rnacentral:misc_RNA from 1 species